GGAGGUGCUGGACGGAGAAUCUUGCAGACCCGGUCAGGUCCGGAAGGAAGCAGCCGCAGCAAGAGGAUUCGGGUCGGCACCGACCAA
rnacentral:SRP_RNA from 1 species